rnacentral:lncRNA from 1 species
GAGAGGGCAAAAUAUCACCAGAAUCAGCAUGUAACUUGAUGGAAAUGUCCAGAGGAGAAACAGCAGGGGAAACAGAAACACAAUUAAAGGCAUGUAGUAAAUCAGUAACAUACCUAUGCUGAUUUAGGUGUAUCCCACCAGGGACAUGUUGUACCUCAAGACCCAAGAAAUAAUGCAAUGACCCCAAAUCCUUGAUUUUAAAUGUGUCAUCCAGGAAGAUUUUUAAGGCAGCAAUCUCAUCAUAGUCAUCCCCAGUAAUUAUAAUGUCAUCAACAUACACAGCUACCACAAUAAGGGAACCAGGAGUACCUUUCAAGAAUAAAGAAUAGUCAUUCAAAGAAUGCAUGUAACCUCUGGAAUGAAGUGCAGAGGACAGCUUAGCAUACCAUUGCCUGGAGGCUUGCCUAAGCCCAUAUAAAGAUUUCUUGAGUUUGCAAACCGAAGGAAGAGAGGAAUCCUGGAGGCUUGCCUAAGCCUAUAUAAAGAUUUCUUGAGUUUGCAAACCAAAGGAACAGAGGAAGAAGUAGAGGGAGAAGUAGGAUCAGAAACAAUCAAACCUGGAGGAAGUUUCAUGUA